CCUACGGGAGGCAGCAGUGGGGAAUAUUGGACAAUGGGCGCAAGCCUGAUCCAGCCGUGCCGCGUGAGUGAUGAAGGCCCUAGGGUUGUAAAGCUCUUUCACCGGUGAAGAUAAUGACGGUAACCGGAGAAGAAGCCCCGGCUAACUUCGUGCCAGCAGCCGCGGUAAU
rnacentral:rRNA from 1 species